rnacentral:lncRNA from 1 species
GUAAACAAAAUCAAUUUUCUAUGAAUAUUCAAUUACUCCCCAAAAGAGGCGUGUUUUGAGAAACAGCUGUAUUUACAAAGUGCAACCUAUACAGACAUUUAUUCAAAUAGAAAACUCUCUAAAAUCAGUUUUUCUCACAUUAAUACUCAUUUAUCAGAAUUAAAGUCUUAAAGAAAUCACUGUGUAUACUCUAAGUUUUUCUUUACUAUACAUUUUAUACCCCUCCCCUGUUUCAAUUUUUGUAAAGAAUUUGAAAACAAGACUUUAAUUAUUGCCAGCUUACCCUAUUUGCAUAUUUUCUGAUAAAAAAUGCCUAAAACCUGUUAAAAACUGUUUUUAUAACAUAUUGCAAGCAUAUCAGAAUAUCAUAAUUGUAAUGUUCAGCAGUCAAUCAUUACAACAUUCAAUAUUAUAUAAAGUAUCCAAUCCAGCCUCUAUCUCCAGUCCACAUCUUACUGUAUGCCUAUUUGUCAAUUAAAGAACACAUUUUCUGCCUCAAAUGGUCAAUUUAGAAUUCUUGUCACAACAAUAUCAUCUUUAACCAUAUAUCUGACACAAUUUAGCUACUAUAUAUACUAGAAGUGUUCAAACAAAGCCAUAUUUGCAAUAGUUGUAUGUAUGCAGAUACCAGUCUGAGAUAUAAAUUCACUUAAAAUGUUGUAGAGAUGACUGCUAACAUCUGAUUUUUGCAUAACUUCCAAGCAUAGUUAUUGUUUUCUAUAUCAAGAACUUUAAAAUCAUAAAUUCAUAGCAUUUAUAAGUUAAAUUAUUUGUUUUAUGACCUAGAGGGUAGACAAUUUGCUAUGUUUUUUGCCCCUGGGGCCUCAAAUUUCCUAAAUCAUUCUGCUGUUUCUAGCAAUUUGGAAUAUUUAGUACAUAUUCAGGAUAGAACACACUAUUGUAAGUUUUCUUGAGAUAUUUUUGUUUUUCUAGCUUGUAUUUAUUAUGCCGUGGUGACAAAAAGCAGACUUAGGUGUUGCGGCUUACUUUUGGGUUAUCGAAAGGACACAAAUACCCCAUAAAUAAUAUUCAGGAAGGAUCUAUGAGUUUCAAUGACUGCGAAGAGUAAAUAUAAGCACUUCUUAACAAUUUAACUUACAAAUAUGCAAAUAUUAUGAUUUAAUUUUGUAUCCAGGACUUUAAGUAAACUAUGCAUACUGUAAACUGUGAAUUUAUGCUGAGUCAUCAUAUUUAAGGCCCAGGAUUCUAUCAAUCUUCAUUAAAUAUUUAUAAAACUU